rnacentral:rRNA from 1 species
GAUGAACGCUGGCGGCGUGCCUAAUACAUGCAAGUCGAGCGAACGGACGAGAAGCUUGCUUCUCUGAUGUUAGCGGCGGACGGGUGAGUAACACGUGGAUAACCUACCUAUAAGACUGGGAUAACUUCGGGAAACCGGAGCUAAUACCGGAUAAUAUUUUGAACCGCAUGGUUCAAAAGUGAAAGACGGUCUUGCUGUCACUUAUAGAUGGAUCCGCGCUGCAUUAGCUAGUUGGUAAGGUAACGGCUUACCAAGGCAACGAUGCAUAGCCGACCUGAGAGGGGGAUCGGCCAAAAGGGAAAGAGGAAAGGGCCCAGACCCCGAGGGGAGGAAGAAGGAGGGAACUUUCGGAAAGGGGGGAAAACCGGAGGGAGAAACGCGGGGGGAGGAAGGAAGGUUUUGGGAAGGAAAAACUUUGUUAUGAGGAAAGAAAAAAUGGGAAAGAAAAUGGGCAAAUUUGGAGGGUAACAAAUAAAAAAGCCACGGAUAAAUAAGG